AAUCAAUCAAGCACAGGCCUGAACGCGUCCACACACACAGACAUCUAAUCAGCCAAAUAAUUGAAAUCACCUGUUGGAGACGAGUGAAAAGUGUAAGCUGAUACUCCCGGGACGGGAAGAAGCCCAGGAAUACGGUGUUGCAGACUGCCAUGACGUGUUCUUCUUAAAAAGAGAAGUAUCAACAGGGAUGCAUCAGGACAAGUUGUUGAAGUCUACAUCACAUGCCAACCUUCAUGAUGGAGCAGUGGGUGCAAGUGAUAGUUGAGAUCACCAAACGGGUCCAUCUGCUGCUUGUCCAACAAACUGGGCUGACUUAGCUGCUGGAGGGGUUCAUCAGAGUGGUGGGUUUUCUACCAGAUGCCCUGGGCUGGUGAUGACCCUCCACUGUUGGCAAUAGUUGAGCAUGUAUAAAAGGAAGGGAGUAUGCUGUCACAACAUACUUUAGCCAAGGUAUUUUUGAAUGGACAGGAUGUUUCAGUUUGGCCACUUGUCUCGUCCAUAAGGAGAAAGUAAAGGGAAUUGGAGUUUUGAGUCUAUGUACACUAUGUGCUUCUCUGUCAGGUAUGGAACAGUCUGAUUUAUCGUGGUGUCAUAAGAACUACAUGUAUUAAUAAAAAAGUGUUUUAA